AGCAGCAGCAGCAAGCAGCAGGGGUGCACGUCAAGGGAUGCAACUGCCGCAAUUCUGAAUGCAAGAAGCUCUACUGUGAGUGCUUCAAGCACGGCGUCGGGUGCAGCGACAAGUGCCAGUGCACAGGGUGCGGCAACACCUUCGGAGUGAAAGGCGCGGCUCAACAAGCACAUAGUGACAGUCCUGAAGGAACAUCUGGCGGCUCCGGUGAAACACUUGCCCGU